rnacentral:lncRNA from 1 species
CACAGAAUAAGAAGACAUUAGAUGUGAUUAUCAGCUAUGCUGCUGAGAGCUGGAGACUAAUUUCCAGAUGAUAAUCUACAGUGCCAUCUUGAUGCCACUGAUGACUGAAGAGGAAAUGCUGUGAGCUGGCACCUUGCUUAGAUUUAAGCUGAAAAGCCGUGUGAGGACACAGUAAAGAGGAGGAGCACAGAAAGGACCAGGAGUGAGGAGUCACAGUGGUAAAUGAUGAAGCACUGCACUGAUGUGAACAUAGCAAGUAAACAGUGGGCAUAUGUUCAACAUUGCCUAAAGAAAAUAUGUUGCCUUUUCAGCAAGAAACUGAGUUUCUCCAGGAAACCCUAUAGUGUGAAUGCAGUG